ACGCUACCUCAGCUCAGGCGGGGCUACCCAUUAAGCUUAAGCAUAUCAAUAAGCGGAGGAAAAGAAACUAACAAAGAUUCCCCUA
rnacentral:rRNA from 1 species